UACGAUCACCAAAGUUAAGCAAUUUUGAGCCUGGUCCGUACCUAGAUGGGUGACCACUUGGGAAUACCAGAUGUUGUAAG